rnacentral:rRNA from 1 species
AUUGAACGCUGGCGGCAUGCUUUACACAUGCAAGUCGAACGGUAACAGGGAGCUUGCUCCGCUGACGAGUGGCGAACGGGUGAGUAAUGCAUCGGAACGUACCCAGUCGUGGGGGAUAACGUAGCGAAAGUUACGCUAAUACCGCAUACGUCCUGAGGGAGAAAGCGGGGGACCGAAAGGCCUCGCGCGAUUGGAGCGGCCGAUGUCGGAUUAGCUAGUUGGUAGGGUAAAGGCCUACCAAGGCAACGAUACCGUAGCGGGUCUGAGAGGAUGAUCCGCCACACUGGACUGAGACACGGUCCAGACUCCUACGGAGGCAGCAGUGGGGAAUUUUGGACAAUGGGCGCAAGCCUGAUCAGCAUGCCGCGUGAGUGAAGAAGGCCUC